GUGAGCUUAGCUCAGUUGGUAAGAACAUUGUAUAAUUUAUGCAGGGGUUUGGGUUCGAACCCCAGACAUCCCA
rnacentral:tRNA from 1 species